AUUGAACGCUGGCGGCAUGCCUAACACAUGCAAGUCGAGCGGAUGAAGGGAGCUUGCUCCUGGAUUCAGCGGCGGACGGGUGAGUAAUGCCUAGGAAUCUGCCUGGUAGUUGGGGAUAACGUCCGUAAACGGGCGCUAAUACCGCAUACGUCCUGAGGGAGAAAGUGGGGGAUCUUCGGACCUCACGCUAUCAGAUGAGCCUAGGUCGGAUUAGCUAGUUGGUGGGGUAAAGGCCUACCAAGGCGACGAUCCGUAACUGGUCUGAGAGGAUGAUCAGUCACACUGGAACUGAGACACGGUCCAGACUCCUACGGGAGGCAGCAGUGGGGAAUAUUGGACAAUGGGCGAAAGCCUGACCCAGCAAUGCCGCGUGUGUGAAGAAGGUCUUCGGGUUGUAAAGCACUUUAAGUUGGGAGGAAGGGCAGUAAGUUAAUACCUUGCUGUUUUGACGGUACCAACAGAAUAAGCAACGGCUAACUUCGUG
rnacentral:rRNA from 1 species